UGGGGCGUGGCCAAGUGGUAAGGCAAUGCUUUUUGGUAGCAUGUAUCGUAGGUUCGAAUCCUACCGCCCCAGCCA
rnacentral:tRNA from 1 species